UGCCUGGCUGCCUGAGUUCAUCCCCUCAGCGUCCUCUGCUAUGCUGUGUCAGCAGGCUCCUUGGAUGCAAGAGCACAAACACCUCAGUGUGAAGGUUUCCUCUGGAGAAGGAGCAUUUCACUAUCCAACAAAAUGUUUAUUCCAGGAUUUUGGUUGAUUUCAUUAAUCAGGUAAAUAUCUUCUCUCUUCCAGUAUUUCUAAAAUUUCUCUGCUCAGGUGUGGCAUUAUUUUGUAAGGGAUAAUUUUACACUAUCUAUUAAAAUGUUAUUUUCUUUUUAAAAGUCAAUUCCUUUAGGAAACUACAGUGAUAGGUUUUUCUAAUGUUGAACUGUCCUUAAACUUCUUGGUAAACCCUAAUUGGCUGUGUCAGUCUUUUUACAUUGCAGGAUUUGUUUCUCUGCUAUUUUAGUAUAUUUAUCGUUAUGCUAAUAAGUAGGAUUUAGUUGUUUAGUUGUUUUAGUUGUUCUUGUUGUUUUUAACUAAACAAAUGCUUUGCUAACUUUCCACCUUUUCAUCUAUUUCUGGACCCAUUGAUUAAACAUUGGGAUUAUAGAGCAAAUUAAUUUUGGUAAAAAUUUUAAUAACACCUCAAAUAUGGUGUCUUUGAGAUAAUUUUUUGUCUAACUUUUCAAUUGUUGUGAUUUUGGUUUCUUUUUAUUUUUUAACUUGCUUUGUUUAAAUUUUGAUCAGCUAUAUUUUCCUAAACAUCUAUUUUAUCUAGAUUUUCAAAUCUAGAAAUAUUUGUGUAUUUGUGUUUGUGUAUGUAUAUACAAUUUUGUAAACAUGGAACAUAUGUUUUUUAAAUCUUUUGCAGUGUAAUAUUUAUUUUUCCUGAAAUUAAUGACUUUUAACUUAAUCUGAACUACAAAUGAUUGUCUGCCUCAGCAAUAUUGUGGAUAUUACUGAUAAGGCCUACAUUUUUAUUAUACCAAUUUGUGUAAUACUUUGUCUUUUUUCUUAGGUUUAUUUGGCUGAUUUUUUUCUAGGUUCUUGAUUUGCACACAUACUUUUAAAAUUUUAGCCUUUCUUGUUCCCAUUUAAGGCUAAGAAUUAUUUUUUGAGGACACUUGGCUAAGAAGUAUUUUCAAUUUAUAGUGUUACCAAUAUCUUUAAUUUUGAAAUCUAAUUUCAGAUGUGACAUUAUUAACCCAAGAGAUCAUGAGAAAUUAUUAAAUUUGUGUGCAGGCAACAAAAACAAAAAUAGACAAAUGGAACUUAAUUAAACUAAAAAGCUUCUGCACACCAAAAAAAAAAAAAAAAAAAAAAAAAAAAUCAACAGAAUAAAAUGACAACCUGCAGAAUGGGAGAAAAUAUGUGCAAAUUAUAUAUACAACAGGGGAUGAAUAUCCAAACUAUAUAUCCAACAGGGGAUGAAUAUCCAGAAUUUAUAAGGAACUCAGACUACUAACAACAGCAAAAAUAAUCUCAUCAAAAACUGGGCUAAGGGUAUCUAUAGACACUUUUCAAAAGAUGGCAAACAGGCCAGGCACAGUGGCUCAGGCCCAUAAUCCCAGCACUUUGGGAGGCUGAGGCAGGCGGAUCACCUGAGGUCAGGAAUUGGAGACCAGCCUGGCCAACGUAUAGUGAAACCUCGUCUCUACUAAAAAAAUACAAAAAUUAGCUGGGCAUGGUGGCGCAGGCCUGUAGUCCCAGCUACUUGGGAAACAGAGGCAGGAGAAUAGCUUGAACCCGGGAGGUGGAGGCUGCAGUGAGCCGAGAUCGCACCACUCUACUCCAGCCUAGGCAACAGAGCGAGACUCCAUCUCUCAAAAAAGAAAAAAUAAAUAAAAAUAGAGCUACCAUAUGAUCCAGCUGGGUAUCUACUCAAAGGAAAAAUAAUUAAAUCAAAAAGAUACCUGCACAUAGAUGUUUAUUACAGCACUAUUCACAAUAGCAAAGAUAUGGAAUCAACCUAAGUUUCCAUCAACCCAUGAUUGGAUAAGAAUAUGUGGUAUAUAUAUAUGAAUACUCUUCAGCCAUAAAAAAGAAUGAAAUCAUGUCUUUUGCAGCAACAUAGAUGAAACUGGAGGCUAUUUUCUUUUCUUUUCUUUUUUUUUUUUUUUGAGACGGAGUCUCGCUCUGCCGCCCAGGCUGGAGUGCAGGGGCGCGAUCUCGGCUCACUGCAAGCCCCGCCUCCCGGGUUCACGCCAUUCUCCUGGCUCAGCCCCCGGAGUAGCUGGGACUAGAGGCUCCCGCCAACACGCCUGGCUAAUUUUUUUGGUAUUUUUGGUAGAGACGGGGUUUCACCAUGUUAGCCAGGAUGGUCUUGAUCUGCUGACCUCGUGAUCCGCCCGCCUGGGCCUCCCAAAGUGUUGGGAUUACAGGCGUGAGCCACCACGCCUGGCCUGGAGGCUAUUUUCUUAAGUGAAAGAAUUCAGACACAGAAAGACAAAUACCACAUGUUCUCACUUCUAAGUGGGUGUUGAAUAAUGUGUACACAUGGAAGUAGAGUGUGGAAUGAUAGACAAUGGAGACUUAGGUUGGUGGGGUGGUGAGAAGAGGGUUGGCUGAGGACAAUGAGAAAGCACUUAAUGGUACAAUGUACAUUACUCCAGUGAUGGAUACACUAAAAACACUGACU
rnacentral:lncRNA from 1 species